UACGGGGGGGGGUAAGCGUUGUUCGGAAUUACUGGGCGUAAAGGGCUCGUAGGCGGCCAACUAAGUCAUACGUGAAAUCCCUCAGCUUAACUGGGGAACUGCGUGUGAUACUGGAUGGCUUGGAUUUGGGAGAGGGAUGCGGAAUUCCAGGUGUAGCGGUGAAAUGCGUAGAUAUCUGGAGGAACACCGGUGGCGAAGGCGGCAUCCUGGACCAAUAUUGACGCUGAGGAGCGAAAGCCAGGGGAGCAAAGCGGG
rnacentral:rRNA from 1 species